AUGUUCUCUGUGUCUCUAGUGCUGCUACUGGCAGCCGCAUCCUGUGUCCACUCUUAUGAGCUGAUUCAGCCUGACUUUCAGACUGUUCGUCCAGGUCAGCAAAUGACCAUCAACUGCAAGCCCUCGUAUUCAGUUACUAGCUAUGAUACAGCUUGGAUUAGACAACCAGCAGGAAAAGCUCUGGAGUUCAUUGGAAUUAUCUACAGUGAUGGGAGCUUAUACUCUCUGAAAAACAAGUUCAGCAUCUCAAGAGACACCAGCAGUAACACAAUAACAUUACAAGGGAAUAAUCUACAGAGUGAAGACACAGCUAUGUAUUACUGUGCCUGUUACACACAUUAUUUCCAUCUGUAUUUAGAGGAGCAGCUCCUGUCAACUCAGCUAUAG